UACCAACAUUUGGCACUUUUUAAAAAUUAACAAAUUUUCUACCAAGACACUUUUCAUGUCAAAAAUGCUGAAACAUGGCACAAUUAAAAAAUAAAUAUGGCCAUUCCAGCUUUGGAAUAUUAACAAACAACACUUACUCUGUAAAAAAAAAAAUCUCAACUCUUGCAUAUUCUCUCUAUCGGAUAAAGAAAAAACUCAACUUUUGCAUAUUCUCUUUGUCGGUUUUGCUGUGGUUGCUCUUUAUUUGUGCCACUGUGCCGUGUUUCACUUACCAGGCCUCUUAGUUCAGCCACGCAUAGUAAAUGCUUCAGUGCACAGACUGCCCUUUUUGUUUGCAGAAGACUGCUUUUUCUACUCUGUAGAUUGCAAUUUUCGCAUGUGAACUCUCUAUUUAUGCUGCUAUACAAUCUUUUAUUUAGCAGCAUCAACGCAAUUACUCCAACAACUGAAGACUGGACUUGUAAGGUACAAGUAGUUGACAAGGGUCGACAAAGAGAGUCAAUAUGGAAAGAAAAAUAACCAACUCUUGACUCUCCAGGAUGAAGAGGAAUUACUGGUUCAGUGCAUUAUCUUUGAUAGUGACAUAGCACAAUACGCAGAUCUUUUACAUCCUUUUCGCACCUAUCUGGUGUCCAUUGCAAAUAUUAGGGAAUCAAAUGAUACAUACAGCAAACCACUCGGUGACUUUACUUGGAUAAUUGACAAAAAUAUUAUUAUCGAACCAAUAGAAGAAAUAACAACGUUGAGAAAUUCUCUGCCGCGAUCGACACGACUUGCUGUUACGCCAUUUGAGCACUUUGAUCAUCAAUAUGAAGGACAUGAAUUUGGUAUCAUAACAUCUAAUGUAUUAUAUUUUUUAUUAACUACUAAAGUAUAAUUUGUUACUUUAUAUCUAUCGACUCAUUUACUAUCAUUGAUUUCAAGAUAUUCUUGCUAUUGUACUCAAUGCGGGCUUGCCAACAUAUGCUGCAAAUGGACCCAGAAUUCAAGACUUUAUUGAAAUGGAUGACAAGAAAAAAAUCAACCAAACUCACACUUUGGACAAGCUUUAUUGAUCACGAUGAAAACAAAAUCAUGGAAAUACUUGAUCAGUUUCUAAUUAUUCUUGCCAGGAAAAUUGUAAGACCAAGACCAGGAUUAUCAAGCAAAUUUUUUACAACAAUUCAAGUCAAUCCUCCGUAUCUACAAGUGGUUGUACUCAAAGAAUGAUGCCAGUUUAAAGUGACUCUAAUGGAUAACAGUGGCUCUGCAAUGGCGCUCAUAUCUAAUGAACCUGCUGACGCAAUGUUGCAACUCAAUUCAAACGAAAUUUAUGAAUUCAUUGUGUCAAGAAACAAAUGCUGCCUCUUAAAAAUGUGAAAACACAACUAACUAGAAAAACAUUCAGUAUCCAAGCCAAGAAAUCAUUCUCAAAUACUAUCGAUGCAAGUUCUGGAAAGCUGAUUGUUGUAUCUUUCAUGGAAAAGGAGAACCCACUCAACACAGAACCCUUACACAUUGCAAUGGACACCACAAAAAGUAGUAAAACAAAAAAUUCAGAACACUGGCAUAAGCACAUCAGACAAUCAGCGCACAACAAAUCAAGUAACUGCUUCACAUAUCAGUCAUGCUCCAGAGGUGAAAACUCUAUCUCUAAAAAAGUGCUACAAGUUGGGAGCUAUUUUUUGCUGCAUCCUAAAGCAUAUAUCUAAUGAUGCAAUGUACAUAUCAUGUAUAUACUUAAGAUGAUUGCUCUAUCUGUUUUCACGCACAGCAAGUCACGGUCAUACAUUUGCAGAGCUCAACCUGAGGAUGCACCAACUCUCUUUUUGUAUCUAUGUAAAUAAUAUGUACAAUACUGUUUUGCAAAGCAUGGCUCCUUAAUGUUCACAUAUAUAUGUAUGUAUAUAAA